rnacentral:rRNA from 1 species
GACGAACGCUGGCGGCGUGCUUAACACAUGCAAGUCGAACGGUGAACUCCGCUUGCGGGGGGAUCAGUGGCGAACGGGUGAGUAACACGUGGGCAACCUGCCCUCAGCUCUGGGAUAACUCCAAGAAAUUGGGGCUAAUACCGGAUAUGACCGCUGACCGCAUGGUCUGGUGGUGGAAAGAUUUAUCGGCUGGGGAUGGGCCCGCGGCCUAUCAGCUUGUUGGUGGGGUAGUGGCCUACCAAGGCGACGACGGGUAGCCGGCCUGAGAGGGUGACCGGCCACAAUGGGACUGAGACACGGCCCAGACUCCUACGGGAGGCAGCAGUGGGGAAUAUUGCGCAAUGGGCGAAAGCCUGACGCAGCGACGCCGCGUGGGGGAUGACGGCCUUCGGGUUGUAAACCUCUUUCAGCAGGGACGAAGCGAAAGUGACGGUACCUGCAGAAGAAGCACCGGCCAACUACGUG